GAUGAAGAACGCAGCGAAAUGCGAUAAGUAAUGUGAAUUGCAGAAUUCAGUGAAUCAUCGAAUCUUUGAACGCACCUUGCGCUCCUUGGUAUUCCGAGGAGCAUGCCUGUUUGAGUGUCAUUAAAUUCUCAACCAUUAUCAACUUUUGCUGAUAAUGGCUUGGAUGUGGGGGUCUAUUUUGCUGGCUUCUCAGAUAGUCAGCUCCCCUUAAAUGCAUUAGCCGGUGCCCCGCGUGGACUGUCUAUUGGUGUGAUAAUUAUCUACGCUAUAGACAUCUGCAAUCAUAUGGGUUUGCGCUGCUUCUAACAGUCUGUUGAUUCAGACAAUACAUGACAAUUUGACCUCAAAUCAGGUAGGACUACCCGCUGAACUUAAGCAUAUCAAUAAGCGGAGA
rnacentral:misc_RNA from 1 species